AUUGAACGCUGGCGGCAGGCCUAACACAUGCAAGUCGAACGAUUGGCGGACGGGUGAGUAAUGUCUGGGAAACUGCCUGAUGGAGGGGGAUAACUACUGGAAAAGGUAGCUAAUACCGCAUAACAUCAGAUUUGCCCAGAUUGGAUUAGCUAGUUGGUGGGGUAACGGCUCACCAAGGCGACGAUCCCUAGCUGGUCUGAGAGGAUGACCAGCCACAUGGGAAAUGAGACACGGCCCAGACUCCUAAGUGAGGCAGCAGUGGGGAAUAUUGCACAAUGGGCGCAAGCAUGAUGCAGCCAUGACGCGUGUAUGAAGAAGGCCUUCGAGUUGUAAAGUAAUUUCAGCGGGGAGGCGUUACCCGCAGAAGAAGCACCGGCUAACUCCGUGCCAGCAGCCGCGGUAAUUC
rnacentral:rRNA from 1 species